rnacentral:tRNA from 1 species
GGCGACAUGGCCAAGCGGUAAGGCGAGGAAUUACAAAUCCCUUAUUCCCCAGUUCAAAUCCGGGUGUCGCCU